AAUACUUUCUUAGAUGAUAUAUAGAGUCAACAUGAAGCUUAGCAAGAAUGAAUUAUUCAGGGCUGGGCGCGGUGGCUCACUAUUAUUCUUUCGUGCUUGUCUUAAAGUUGUACAUAUGCUUAGAAAAAUGUUGGUAGGAUAGUAACUCUUCACUGGUGGGAUCAGGGAUGACUUUUGUUUUCAUUUUGCUUGUCUUUUUCUUUAAUGAGUAUGUAUUACUUGUGUAAUAGAUGAAGUAAAGCAGGAAGAAGGGUAGACAUGGUAUUUGAGAUACAGCAUUGGAGGUGUUUGUUUGUUUGAGAUGGAGUCUCACUGUCACCCAAGGUGAAGUGCAGUGGCACAAUCUCGGCUCACUGCAACCUCUGCCUCCCGGGUUCAAGCAAUUCUCCUGCCUCAGCCUUCCCAGUAGCUGGGAUUACAGGCAUCUGCCACCACACCCAGAUAAUUUUUGUAUUUUUAGUAGAGAUGGGGUUUUGCCAUGUUGGCCAGGCUGGUCUGAAACUCCUGACCUCAGGUGAUCCGCCUGCCUCACGUGGUGGCUCACGUUGUAAUCUCAGCAUUUUGGGAGGCCGAAGCAGGCAGAUCACCUGAGCACAGGAGUUCGAGACCAGCCUGGCCAAGAUAGUGAAAUCCUAUCUCUACUAAAAAUAAAAGAUUAGCUGGGUGUGGUGGUGCAUGCCUGUAGUCCCAGCUACUCGGGAGGCUAAGGAAUGAGAAUAGUUUGAACCCAGGAGGCAGAGAUUGCAGUGAGCUGAGAUUGAGCCACUGCACUCCAGCAUGGAUGACAGAGCAAGACCCUGUCUCAAAAGAAAUAAAGGUCAGGCGUGUUGGCUCACGCCUAUAAUCCCAGCACUUUGGGAGGCCAAGGCAGGUAGAUAACUUGAGGUCAGGAGUUUGAGACCAGCUUGGCCAACAUGGUGAAAUCCUGUCUCUACUAAAAAUAUAAAAAAAAUUAGCUGGGCAUGGUGGUGCCCGCCUGUAGUUCCAGCUACUCGGGAGGCUGAAGAAUGAGAACCGCUUGAACCUGGGAGGCAGAGGUUGCAGUGAGGCAAGAUUGAGCCACUGUACUCCAGUGUGGACGACAAGAGUGAGACCCUGUCUCAAAAGAAAAAUAAAGGCCAGGCGUGGUGGCUCACACCUGUAAUCCUAGCACUGUAGGAGGCCGAGACAGGCAGAUCACUUGAGGUCAGAGUUUGAGACCAGCCUGGCCAACAUGGUGAAACCCCAUCUCUACUAAAAACACAAAAAUUAGCUGGGCACAGUGGCAGACGCCUGUAAUCCCAGCUACUCGGGAGGUUGAAGCAGGAGAAUCAGUUGAACCUGGGAGGCGGAGGUUGCAGUGAGCUGAGAUUGUGCCACUGUACUCCAGCCUGGGCGACAGAGCGAGAGUCCGUGUCAAAAAUAAAUUAAAAAACAAAGUUUUAAGAACAGCCUUUAGGUUUCUAUAGCCCACUGCGAAAAGGGUAUGGCAUGAUCAGAUAUUUGCAGGAGUGAGAAAUGCAAAUUUAAACAAUCAAACAGCAUCUAACACAUCUUUAACAAUUAAAUACCAUAAAUAUAACAAAACCAUAAAAAUACUGAUAAGCUUCUACUAUGAACUACAUGAUAGUGACAGGGCAGUGACAGCAAAGGUCCUAUCUGCCCACUGUUGUAUUACCAGCAUCUGGAUCGUAGAAUUUUGCUUGGCAUGUGACAGGGCUUUGUCAUUUAUACUGAGAACAGAUCCUCAAGUUAUCAAUAAUAAUUGAUAAAAGCAACAGUAAUCAGUAUUUUAAUUGCUGUAAUUGGACAUUUGAAAUAGCAGUAAGAUUCUACAGAGUGGCAAUGACUGAGUUGGAAUGUAGGUGUUUC
rnacentral:lncRNA from 10 species